UCCUUCUUCACUUUUCAGACUUUCUUUCUUAUAGGGUCAUUAUUUAUUUAAAUUGUCUCAGUUCUGCUCUGCUCACUGUCCCUCAGUCAUCUGUCACUCACCCAGCCUGUCAGUUCACGUCCACCUCAUCAACUCCAUUCACCUGCACUCACCUGCUCCUGGUCACUAAGAAAGUGUCAGUAAAUAACAUGUGGACUGAGGCCGAGCACUCGUCCUCCUCAGGUUUUCAAAAUAAGACACAUUCUUAUUGAAACACGUUGGACAGUUGAUAAGUAUAGAAACAAACAGGAAGUGACUGUCAGGAGCCAUCCCUACUUUAAACAGUGUUUAAUUACACAAACCUGUUCAGUGACCAACACAGAGAAGAAGCUGAUGAAUGAAACAAUGGUCCAACAUGUCUGAUCUGAUAUUUCAAUAAGGAGAGACUUGAUUUCCAAUUUACCAAUAUUUAUUUGGCAUUUUAGACCCCUGUGAGAUGUCAUCAGGUUUAGAAGGGGGUGGAGCAGAACAUCGAACAGGAAUACCCCCCGGGGUCUAGACACUGGUGGUGGUUUUAUCUGUUGAACGUAUGUUUACAAGGCACAUCUUAAUGCUACUUUGUCCUAUUGGACUCGCUGAGUGUGACAUCCUCUGCCCUCAACCCUCACAAGGGUAAGGAAAAACUACAAAAACCUUGACAGGGAAAAAGUAGAAACCUCAGGAAGAGCUGCAUGCGAGGGAUCCCUCUUCCAGGAUGGACAGAAGUGCAAUGGAUGCUACGAGCAAUGUGUAUAUUGUCAGGCCGCCUUGUCGAUUUAGUCUGUGAUCAGCUGCCACCAUGAUGGGGUGCCGCUAUAAUCCUCAAUCCGUUGACAUGAUCCAUGAUCAGUUGAGGUUGGGAUCCGGAUGAGGUGAAUAUCCUCGACUGGAGGAGAAUGGGGUGGAGGAGGGGUUGCACGAGUUGCUGAAUGAUGGCUGACUGAGGAAGAGAGGAGAAGGGAUUUUGAAAGUUUGGCAGCUGCUGAAUGACUGGCUGACUGAGACCGCGCCCGACCUGAUUGAUAUUGAGGUACACCCACAAUCAGCUGAUCACUGAGCAGGUAAGGACCUCCAUUGAGCGCUCCUGAAAUUAGGAACGCCCACGAUCAGCUGAUCGUCUGCUGGUUUAAAGGGGACAUAUUAUGAAAAUUCCACUUUUGUAGUGCUUCUACACAUUAAUUUGGGUAUCUGGCAUGUCUACCGUCCCAAAAACUCUGAAAAAAAACAACCCCAGCGAUUUGUUGUGGUUCCUCUAUUUCAGAAACUGUGUGCUAGAGUGCGUCCAAUGGAAUUACGACCGAAAUAGACGUCAUAGUCGCAACAUGCCCAUGCCCCCAUAGCUCUAUGCACUCCCCCACUACCACUCGACCCACCCAUAGAUGGACCAAACCCACUUUUUAGAAAGUCUAUCGUGUCCGGCAGCCAUUUCAUUCUUGCAAGCCUUGGAAACACUUGGAUAAGCUAACUAGCAGCAUGAAUCGAAAUCGAAAACCGAGAUGCUCAGUGGUCGGCUGCAAACAUGUCUUCAUGGGACUCCAGCUUCAGAAGACACAAGAUUGAGAUGGAUUGAGUUCAUAUAUGAUGGCAACGUUCCUGCCACCACUUUGAAUCGGACUGUUUUAUCAACCUGGGCCAAUAUAACGCUGGAUUCUCUAAAAAGGUUGUUAUUGAAAGAGGGGUCGGUGCCAUCUCUCCGUUGCAACACUGAAGACGAGGGAAAUGCAAGCACAUCUGUUCACGGUGCUAGGCUACAUCACGUAGCAUGCCAGACGGACCCACCACAGAUUCGCACACAUGGAACGCAGCUUUCUAUGAAAACACUGCGACCUCACUACAAAAGUACAGGCACACAGAAAACUGUGCUGCAAUGAUGUCGGUGUUGGGACCUCAGCUGUAAGAGGCCUGGCUUGGAGGAGGGAGAGGACAACCCAAGUUGUUGCAGUAUGGACUUCGGAGAGCCACAGGAUGCUACCUAUGAUCCUGAUGACUCGAUCACAGUCUUCACUGAGUCAGCAGAUGUGACGUGAGUGACUCAAUAUUUAAUCUAAACAUUUCAAUAAUCAGAUGGAUUACCAUCCUACACUUUUUUAGCUGUUGCAGCCUUUUGGUGAAAUCUUUG